rnacentral:lncRNA from 1 species
UAUCCUUAAAUUAUAUAUCAUUUAUUGAAAUAUAGAGAUCUUAAUUUACAGGAUUUUUUCACAGACAAAAUAUCAACAGGGGCAUUUUUGAAAUACAUUUUGUGCCUACCAUCACUCAGGCUAUUUCACCCUUCUUCAAACAUUUCACAACAGCCACCAUUUUGGAAACACUUCCUUUUUUAUUAUUCUAAAAUAGAACUUUUGGACAUUCAAAGUGCAACAGUUAACGUGCCUGUGGAAUAUAUCACAGUAAAAAAAAAUAUAAACAAAGGCAGUGAUAUAGCUGUCAUAAAUGUUUUGGCAGUAUUCUAAAAGUCUAUAUAAAAAUACUUAUAUACACAUUGAUGUAUAACAUCACCAUAUCUCAUGUCCUUCAUCACAUAUUAGGACCAUUUUGUACAAGUUGCAGACCACACUUUAAGGUAUUGGUUGGCCAUUCCAAAUCAAAAGCUGUGUUUCAUAGGCUAACACUGAUUGUCGUUAUACAAUUACGGUAGUGAAAGGUUUGGGAAUAUCUCUUCAAGUGGCUUCUCAAAAAUUAAGCCAUAAAAGUAAGUCUGUAAUACUGAUAAUAUUGUAAAACUAAACAAAUCAUCCUUUCACAAUUCUCCCUCUCGAGUAAAUCCCUUCUCUUCCUCUGCUUCUUAUUCCAGUUUCCAGGCCAUUUUAUUUGACUCCAAGCCUGCGGUGAUCUGGGUUUGGCUAGACCCCUGGCACAGAUGCAGUUCAUCUAUACAAUACUCAUGACAGGAUGGAGAAUCAAUAUUACCAGGCAUUGGAAAUUGAGGCAGCUGGUUCACAUCCACCACUUGGGUCUAGCCUCCCUGGAGAUGCGCUGAGAGAUACAGAAUGAAACCAGUGAGAGGAAGGGGAGACUACAUGAAAAUGUCCUUAGAUUCCAGUAACUGGUAUAAUAAAACAUACUGGGGCUGAUUUUCAAACCCUGAAGAACCCUCGGCCAUGUGCAAAAAAUGCAGGUGAAAUUGCUUGCCUAAUUGGAACAUGUAAUUGUAAUGACUGCACGUGCAAAUUAAGGCAUGUGUGGUCUCAAGUGGCCGUUCAGAUGUCUGGGAUACCCAACAGACAAUUUGUGUUUUCUCAAUUCAUAGUUCAUAGCUGGAGGGAGACUUUACAGUGACUCAUCUGGCUGUAUCAAGAGUCUUUAUGUUUCACAGUUGUCCCCAUACAGAGUUCGGUGAUGUGUUUGGCUAAAGUAUGGCUCCAAGGACCAGUUGGUCUUGAUUUGUUGACUGCAAGAAAUAGAGGAUGCACCAUCACUCAUGGUUCCUUCUGAUUGUCAUCCUUCAUCAGGGUUGAAAAUGCGGGUGCCUUGCUUCAGGUCCUGUUUUCACAUCAGUUGUAUGCUUGUACGUGGCCUCAGCCAGGUGACAGUUUGAAAUCCAGACCUAGAAUUAUUUGCCUGUAACACUGACAAUAUUACACUUGCUUUCAUCUGAUCCACAGCUGUCCGCAAGUGAAGUCAAGGGGAGUUGUGUAGCUUUUCUAAAGGUCAGUUCAAGUUAAACUGUAGUUUAACAUGGCAGCAUGUUCUGUCAGUCACUGCUGGUCCAUCUUUUACACUUCCUAGUUAAAAUACUGCAACACAGGGAUGAGUUUGCACUGCAUUUUCAUUGGUUGUGUCAGGCCAGAUGCUGAGCACAUCCUACAAGAUGCUCAUCACACUGAAUUAAGGUUAAGUUUGGAAGUUGAGCACCAGAAAGGAUGGGGCCCUUCACAGUGAUGUACCAUUUUUCACAUGUAAGUCUUCCAAAGUAUCAUAUCUCAAUAACACAUUGUACAGUGAUAGCAGUAACCGUAAUACUUUGCUCAUAUAAGUGGUGUCAAAAAAACCAAGUAUUGCAGGCUGAGAGCACUUUCAUUUUCAUGCUCUUUCUUCAAAAAAAAAAAAAACCCACUCUUGGAAGCAAUUGCAAUUUGUAGUUACAAUCUGCAAAGAUAAGAGAGUUUUCUAUUCCUGUUUAAACCUGAAAACUAAGACAAGAGUAUUUGCUGCAGAAUUAUUUCUGCUUAUUUAAACUUGAGUUUCAGGCUGGGAGAGAUGAUGUUCUUUGAACAGUUCAAAGAUCAAACCAGUUUUUCACAGCUAACCCCAGGAUAAGAUUUUUUUUGAGUACCCAUGAAAUAAAAUGAUAAUAAUGGGAUGUUGCUGUUGGUUUAUAGUAAUCUUGUGUUCUCCAGCAUCUUGGAAACCUGGCAUAACAUACUUUUUUUUAAACAUUUAAAUAUUUAGAACCUCAUUUAAUCA